rnacentral:sRNA from 1 species
CGUCAUCGACCUGCUGGGGACAGAUGAAAUGGAUAUGGCUGUCGAUGCCGCCGGCGGUGAGGAUCUUGCCUUCGCCGGCGAUGAUCUCGGUGCCCGGGCCGAUGACGAUGGUGACGUCCGGCUGCACGUCGGGAUUGCCGGCCUUGCCGAUCGCGCUGAUGCGGCCAUUGGUGAUGGCGACGUCGGCCUUGACGAUGCCCCAGUGGUCGAUGAUCAGCGCGUUGGUGAUGACGGUGUCGGCCGCGCCCUCGUCAUGGCUGUGCUGGGACUGGCCCAUGCCGUCGCG